rnacentral:rRNA from 1 species
UAUUGGUCAAUGGUCGGGAGACUGAACCAGCCAAGCCGCGUGAGGGAGGAAGGUACAGAGUAUCGUAAACCUCUUUUGUCAGGGAACAAAGGCGGGGACGUGUCCCCGGACGAGUGUACCUGAAGAAAAAGCAUCGGCUAACUCCGUGCAAGCAGCCUCGGUAAUACGGAGGAUGCGAGCGUUAUCCGGAUUUAUUGGGUUUAAAGGGUGCGCGGGCGGUCUCUUAAGUCAGCGGUCAAAGCCAGGGGCUCAACCCCGGCCCGCCGUUGAAACUGGCAGUCUCGAGUUGGAGAGAAGUAUGCGGAAUGCGCGGUGUAGCGGUGAAAUGCAUAGACAUCGCGCAGAACUCCGAUUGCGAAGGCAGCAUGCCGGCUCCACACUGACGCUGAGGCACGAAAGCGUGGGUAUCGAACAGG